CCGCCAGGGAACUACGAGCCUAAGCUUAAAACCCAAAGGACUUGGCGGUGCUCCAAACCCACCUAGAGGAGCCUGUUCUGUAAUCGAUACCCCUCGCUAAACCUCACCACUUCUUGCCAAACCCGCCUAUAUACCACCGUCGCCAGCCCACCUCGUGAGAGACUCCUAGUAGGCUUAAUGAUUAUGCAUCAACACGUCAGGUCAAGGUGUAGCAUAUGAAGUGGGAAGAAAUGGGCUACAUUUUCUAUACCCUAGAAUAAACGAAAGAUCUCUAUGAAACCAGAUCGGAAGGCGGAUUUAGCAGUAAAGAGAAAUAAGAGAGUUCUCUUUAAAACGGCCCUGGAGCGCGCACACACCGCCCGUCACCCUCA
rnacentral:rRNA from 1 species